UACGAAGGUCCCAAGCGUUGUUCGGAAUCACUGGGCGUAAAGGGAGCGUAGGCGGCGUGGUAAGUCAGAUGUGAAAUCCCGGGGCUCAACCCCGGAACUGCAUCCGAUACUGCCGUGCUUGAGGGUUGGAGAGGUAGCUGGAAUUAUCGGUGUAGCAGUGAAAUGCGUGGAUAUCGAUAGGAACACUCGUGGCGAAGGCGAGCUACUGGACAACAACUGACGCUGAGGCUCGAAGGCUAGGGGAGCAAAAGGG
rnacentral:rRNA from 1 species